UACAGAGGGUGCGAGCGUUAAUCAGAAUUACUGGGCGUAAAGGGCGCGUAGGUGGUUAUAUGUGAUUGAUGUGAAAGCCCCGGGCUUAACCUGGGAAGGGCAUCGAUAACUGUAUAGCUGGAGUAUUGCAGAGGAUGGCGGAAUUUCCGGUGUAGCGGUGAAAUGCGUAGAGAUCGGAAGGAACGUCAGUGGCGAAGGCGGCCAUCUGGGCAAAUACUGACACUGAAGCGCGAAAGCGUGGGUAGCGAACAGG
rnacentral:rRNA from 1 species